rnacentral:rRNA from 1 species
GUUGGAUUUCUGUUAAUAAUUUAUAUAAAAUAUUUUGAUGAAUAUUUAUAUAAUAUUAACAUAAUUCAUAUUACUAUAUAUUUUAGUAUAUGAAAUUUUACUUUGAGAAAAUUAGAGUGCUUAAAGCAGGCAUAUGCCUUGAAUACUCCAGCAUGGAAUAAUAUUAAAGAUUUUUAUCUUUCUUAUUGGUUCUAAAAUAAGAAUAAUGAUUAAUAGGGACAGUUGGGGGCUUUUGUAUUUAACAGUCAGAGGUGAAAUUCUUAUAUUUGUUAAAGACAAACUAAUGCGAAAGCUUUUGCCAAGGAUGUUUUCAUUAAUCAAGAACGAAAGUUAGGGGAUCGAAGACGAUCAGAUACCGUCGUAGUCUUAACCAUAAACUAUGCCAACUAAAGAUUGGAGGUUGUUCCUUACUC